GACGGGACCGCACAGCGUGGAUGAUGUGGAUUAAUCGAUGCAACGCGAAAACCUUACCUACCUUGACAUGUCCGGAAUCCCGAAGAGAUUUGGGAGUGCUCGCAAGAGAGCCGGAACACAGGUGCUGCAUGGCUGUCGUCAGCUCGUGUCGUGAGAUGUUGGGUUAAGUCCCGCAACGAGCGCAACCCUUGUCAUUAGUUGCCAUCAUUUGGUUGGGCACUCUAAUGAGACUGCCGGUGACAAACCGGAGGAAGGUGGGGAUGACGUCAAGUCCUCAUGGCCCUUAUGGGUAGGGCUUCACACGUCAUACAAUGGUCGGUACAGAGGGUUGCCAACCCGCGAGGGGGAGCUAAUCCCACAAAGCCGAUCGUAGUCCGGAUCGCAGUCUGCAACUCGACUGCGUGAAGUCGGAAUCGCUAGUAAUCGUGGAUCAGCAUGUCACGGUGAAUACGUUCCCGGGUCUU
rnacentral:rRNA from 1 species